rnacentral:misc_RNA from 1 species
GAAUAUCACAAUGCAGAAUUUAUAAAUUCAAAACACAUACGAUUUAUCCAGUGAAAAAAAAUUAGCCCCCACCUCAUCCAGCUUUCUCAUUAACCUUUGAGGAGUCCACUUUCGAUGCAUUGCUCUUAGACUCUGAUUUUGCCUCAGCAACACUCCCGGAAUCACCACCAGAACAACACCCACCACCAUGCUGAUGCCCGUGCCCGUGGCCAUGGUGGUGAUGGUGGUGAUGGUGAUGAUGGUG